rnacentral:rRNA from 1 species
AUUGAACGCUGGCGGCAUGCCUUACACAUGCAAGUCGAACGGCAGCACAGACUUCGGUCUGGUGGCGAGUGGCGAACGGGUGAGUAAUGUAUCGGAACGUGCCUAGUAGUGGGGGAUAACUAGUCGAAAGAUUAGCUAAUACCGCAUACGACCUACGGGUGAAAGUGGGGGAUCGCAAGACCUCAUGCUAUUAGAGCGGCCGAUAUCAGAUUAGCUAGUUGGUGGGGUAAAGGCCCACCAAGGCAACGAUCUGUAGCUGGUCUGAGAGGACGACCAGCCACACGGGGACUGAGACACGGCCCAGACUCCUACGGGAGGCAGCAGUGGGGAAUUUUGGACAAUGGGGGCAACCCUGAUCCAGCAAUGCCGCGUGUGUGAAGAAGGCCUUCGGGUUGUAAAGCACUCUUGUCAGAGAAGAAAACUGUUGCGCUAAUAUCGCGACGGGAUGACGGUAUCUGAAGAAUAAGGACCGGCUAACUACGUGCCAGCCGCCGCCGUAA